AAUUUCUUCAAAAGAUCCUGUCUGACAUGGAGUGCUGAGAAGUGUGGGUGGUCAGUAUAAUUACUCACAAAUGUUAUCUAACUGCUGCCUGCCAAUUUUUGACCACUGGUCAGCAGAGGUGUGGAUGACAUCAAAUCUUGUCACUGCCAGUGUCAGUAUAGCUGACCACUUGCUCUGACCACUGGGCAUUAUGAGGGUAAGCUGACCAGCACAGCUGGAGCCCACUUGAAAUGUCUCCCCUGACAUGAUGUGCUGGUCACUAUACAGUGCCUUAGGUUUUGGUCGGAACUCUUCCUGAAUAGUUCUUGGUUGGAACUGGUAUGUGGGAUGCUCCAUGUCCUGUCAAAGUUUAAGAAAUCUGCACAUGAGAUUCAACCCAUGACCCUUCUGCUCACGAACCAAGUUCAAUACCCAGUGUGCCAGCAGCAUUGCUUAUCAUCCAUCAUGCAACUGUGUCCGGGGAGAUUUGAACCCUGACUUUCCUGCUCGCUAGCCCAGAGUCCACCGCCCAGCUAGCCCAGAGUCCACCGCCCAGCUAUGUGCGUGCUAUGUUGCUUGUCAUCCUUCGUGUCACCCGAGUUGAACACGGACUUGUCAGGACCAGCAUGGUAGUUGUUGGUACACAGGCUGGAUCAGACGACUGCCACAAUCCAUUGGCUAACAAUAGGGACCAAUUCUAUUGUCAUGAGUCAUCCUCCCAGGUUUAGUGACCUGAAAGUCUGGGGUCCCCUGUCUGUGAGACUGAAGCUCCUACACUUUUAACAGCUGACUGCUAUAUUGAACUUGGAGGGUAUUGACGGAAGCCCCCUACAUUGUUGGCGAGGUUUUGUCGGUGAUGAUACUUGGAUCACCAGUGCCGAGAGGAUCAUCACCCAGCUUCCAUUUGUUUCUGAGCCAACAUGGCUGAUGUACCAGGGGAAAUACAUUUAUGGAGAAAACCACAAUUAUUAAACAAAUGGCUCUCCCUGGCGACAGCAAUGUAGAAGUGCACUGUAAGGGGCGGUCACUGACACCUUGAUCACGGCUGCAGCAGCUGGACAUUUGACCAGCUGAGGUCCACAACCUACAGGUUAAAGGAGAUUUUCUUAUCCGGCAAAGACAAUAGUGUAUACAUCAACUCUGUUAAGAGGACUGGAAGGAAAACAGCAACUUUUUGGCUAUCACCCAAGUCUGGAUAUUAUCCCAGAAUUAACUGAAGCUUGUCACUGGAGGUGGCUUGACAUUGACAUAAAAGCCCAAUUACAGAUUUGUCCUCAAUUCCUGAAACUCUGUAACCUUGGCAACAGUCUGACAUCAGUAUGUUAUCAAAUAUAAUAUCUACAUUUCAUAGAUCAUGAUAUCCCAAAAGAGCUGUACUCAGAAAGUAAAGAAAAUAAAAUCGGUUUAUUUUUUAA